AAUCAGCGAGACUCCGUGGGCGUAGGACCCUCCGAGCCAGGUGCGGGAUAUAAUCUCGUGGUGCGACGCUUUUUAAGCCCUUCAGAAAAGCGCAGUGUUCGGGUGGGAGUGACCCGAUUUUCCAGGUGCCGCCCGUCACCCCUUUCUUUGACUCAGAAAGGGAACUCCCUGACCCCUUGCGCUUCCCAAGUGAGGCAAUGCCUCGCCCUGCUUCGGCUCGCGCACGGUGCGCGCACCCGCUGACCUGCACCCACUGUCUGGCACUCCUUAGUGAGAUGAACCCGGUACCUCAGAUGGAAAUGCAGAAAUCACCCGUCUUCUGCGUCGCUCACGCUGGGAGCUGUAGACCGGAGCUGUUCCUAUUCGGCCAUCUUGGCUCCUCCUGUAACAAUUUCUUGAGAUGAAGAUCCUGAAUACCAAAGAGGGCCGCUGACAGGUCUAGGAGUACACUUCUAGCACCUAGCAGAGAGAGGCUUCACUACAUCAUGCUUCCUGACAUCUCUCCCUUUGAAGAGCAGUCAGACUCCUGCUUUGCUCUUCAGACUUAAUUUGGGGGUUUAACAGCCAUGUGAAGUGCUCACUCCCCCUUUGCCUUCUGCCAUGAUUGUGUGUUUCCUGAGGCCUCCCCAGAAGCUGAGAAGAUGCUUCCUGUACAGCCUGCAGAACUGGAUAGCCCAGAGCUAUUCCAUGUAUUCCAUGGAUGGGCACAUUUGGAAGUUUGGUUCUAAAAUCUAAAAGAAGAAAUUUAAGUGUGCUGAAGAUAACUGCAACUCCAAACCUAACGCUGUGUAAUUCUAUGUUCUGCCAUUUUGAAGCAAAGUGGAACCAGAAGUGAGAGGACUAUUUCUAGGUCAUGCUACGGUUACCCUGACCCCAGUC
rnacentral:lncRNA from 1 species